GUGAAUCAUCAAAUUUUUGAACGCAAAUUGCACUCUCUGGUAUUCCGGAGAGUAUGCCUGUUUGAGGGUCAGUUUAAAUAAAAAUGGGUGUGGUGGCUGCCUUUCGGGGUGAGGGACGGGAUGGGGGUGGUCUUGCCUUGGGUUAGGUGACUUAAAAUUUUGCAGGAUUUUUUAGAACGUAUUUAAAUGAUUUUACGUAUGAUUGCGAG
rnacentral:misc_RNA from 1 species